GACGAACGCUGGCGGCGUGCCUAAUACAUGCAAGUAGAACGCUGAAGAGAGGAGCUUACUCUUCUUGGAUGAGUUGCGAACGGGUGAGUAACGCGUAGGUAACCUGCCUUGUAGCGGGGGAUAACUAUUGGAAACGAUAGCUAAUACCGCAUAACAAUGGAUGACACAUGUCAUUUAUUUGAAGGGGGCAAUUGCUCCACUACAAGAUGGACCUGCGUUGUAUUAGCUAGUAGGUGAGGUAAUGGCUCACCUAGGCGACGAUACAUAGCCGACCUGAGAGGGUGAUCGGCCACACUGGGACUGAGACACGGCCCAGACUCCUACGGGAGGCAGCAGUAGGGAAUCUUCGGCAAUGGGGGCAACCCUGACCGAGCAACGCCGCGUGAGUGAAGAAGGUUUUCGGAUCGUAAAGCUCUGUUGUAAGUCAAGAACGGGUGUGAGAGUGGAAAGUUCACACUGUGACGGUAGCUUACCAGAAAGGGACGGCUAACUACGUG
rnacentral:rRNA from 1 species